GUGGGUAUAGGUCAGUGGUAGAGUGCACAUUUAGCAUACAUGAGGUCCUGGGUUCAAUCCCCAGUACCGCCA
rnacentral:tRNA from 1 species